ACACAGGACACAGCCAUGGCAGACCAAAAUAGAACCAUAUAAAGCAUGUUCCCCCUCCAUAUUAUUAACAGAUAUAUGCUACCAAAAUCAGCUCUAUUACCGACGGGCAAAUGGGGUGGCGCAGUGGUUGUUGUGAGGUGUUGGCGAUAGUGGCCAUUUUAAUACCUUGUGUUUUGGGAAAGGAUUAUGUAGUUGGAGAUGAACAUGGGUGGAACGUCAACUUUGACUACCAAGCUUGGGCUCAGGGGAAAAUCUUCUUUGUUGGGGACUCACUCAUAUUCAACUACCAGCAAGAGAGGCACAACGUAUUCAAAGUUAACGGCACAAACUUCAAAGAGUGCACUCGGCCGGCCGACGUUCUACCGUUCACGAGCUGAAGAGACCGAAUUCAGUUGAAAUCAGCGGGAAAAAAAUGGUACAUCUGCGGUAUCGGCCUCCACUGUACUGCCGGACAAAAGCUCGUCAUUACAGUGCUGGACAAAGGAGCUGGUGUUCCUUCUCCGUCUCCAUCACCACGGCAUCUUCCGACACCUCCAGCCUCCCUUCCGACCAACUCAACCAAUGCACCCCCACCUGCACCAUCAACCGCCACAAAAGCGGCUGUUUCCGUCUUCCUGAUGGUGUUUACUAUUCUGGCAGGGAUGUUAUGAUCAAAGCUCUUGAUUUUUUUUUUCUGAACUUCACUCUCUUGUUUUAUUUACAUUUUCGUUUGAGAUUGCUUGUUUCUCUUUUACAUUUAUUUCCAAUGUGUUAAGGGGAGAGGUUGGAAAACAAUAAAUGAUUAUAAUUGCUGUAACUCAAUUUAGUUUUGAUAUCAAUAUUUAUGUAAUUAGUACUCCGUUGAUUUUGA